rnacentral:tRNA from 1 species
AGGGUUGUAGUUAAAUAUAACAUUUAAUUUGCAUUUAAAAAGUAUUGAACUUUCAAUCUACCUUG